CCUACGGGAGGCAGCAGUGGGGAAUAUUGCACAAUGGGGGAAACCCUGAUGCAGCGACGCCGCGUGAGUGAAGAAGUAUCUCGGUACGUAAAGCUCUAUCAGCAGGGAAGAAAAUGACGGUACCUGACUAAGAAGCCCCGGCUAACUACGUGCCAGCAGCCGCGGUAAUACGUAGGGGGCAAGCGUUAUCCGGAUUUACUGGGUGUAAAGGGAGCGUAGACGGCAGCACAAGUCUGGAGUGAAAUCCCGGGGCUUAACCCCGGAACUGCUUUGGAAACUGGGCGGCUGGAGUGCAGGAGGGGUAGGCGGAAUGCGGAGUGUAGCGGGGAAAUGCUUAGAUAUUGGGAGGAACACCGGUGGCGAAGGCGGCUUACUGGACUGUAACUGACGUGGAGGCUCGAAAGCGUGGGGAGCAAACAGGAUUAGAUACCCGAGUAGUC
rnacentral:rRNA from 1 species